GAUGAACGCUAGCUACAGGCUUAACACAUGCAAGUCGAGGGGCAGCAUUUCAGUUUGCUUGCAAACUGGAGAUGGCGACCGGCGCACGGGUGAGUAACACGUAUCCAACCUGCCGAUAACUCGGGGAUAGCCUUUCGAAAGAAAGAUUAAUACCCGAUGGUAUAAUUAGACCGCAUGGUCUUGUUAUUAAAGAAUUUCGGUUAUCGAUGGGGAUGCGUUCCAUUAGGCAGUUGGUGAGGUAACGGCUCACCAAACCUUCGAUGGAUAGGGGUUCUGAGAGGAAGGUCCCCCACAUUGGAACUGAGACACGGUCCAAACUCCUACGGGAGGCAGCAGUGAGGAAUAUUGGUCAAUGGGCGCAGGCCUGAACCAGCCAAGUAGCGUGAAGGAUGACUGCCCUAUGGGUUGUAAACUUCUUUUAUAUGGGAAUAAAGUUUUCCACGUGUGGAAUUU
rnacentral:rRNA from 1 species